rnacentral:rRNA from 1 species
GGAUGAACGCUAGCGAUAGGCUUAACACAUGCAAGUCGAGGGGCAGCAUGGUCUUAGCUUGCUAAGACUGAUGGCGACCGGCGCACGGGUGCGUAACGCGUAUGCAACUUGCCUCACAGAGGGGGAUAACCCGUCGAAAGACGGACUAAUACCGCGUACACUCCAUCUUGGGCAUCCAAGGUAGAGGAAAUGAAAUUCGCUGUGAGAUAGGCAUGCGUCCCAUUAGCUAGUUGGUGAGGUAACGGCUCACCAAGGCGACGAUGGGUAGGGGAACUGAGAGGUUGAACCCCCACACUGGUACUGAGACACGGACCAGACUCCUACGGGAGGCAGCAGUGAGGAAUAUUGGUCAAUGGGCGAGAGCCUGAACCAGCCAAGUCGCGUGAAGGAUGACUGUCUUAUGGAUUGUAAACUUCUUUUAUACGGGAAUAACAAGAGUCACGUGUGACUCCCUGCAUGUACCGUAUGAAUAAGCAUCGGCUAACUCCGUG